rnacentral:rRNA from 1 species
AGCGGCGGACGGGUGAGUAACGCGUGGGUAACCUGCCUCAUACAGGGGGAUAACAGUUGGAAACGGCUGCUAAUACCGCAUAAGCGCACAGUACCGCAUGGUACGGUGUGAAAAACUCCGGUGGUAUGAGAUGGACCCGCGUCUGAUUAGGUAGUUGAUGGGGUAACGGCCUACCAAGCCGACGAUCAGUAGCCGACCUGAGAGGGUGACCGGCCACAUUGGGACUGAGACACGGCCCAA